AUUUUAAAAGAGGUAUUAAGUCUAAUUUUUUUAAAUAUACAUACAAAUUUUGGGGGCGGGGGAGAUACAUUAUGGUAUUAAACAAAGUAUCAUUUAUGUCUUCACCUUAAUUUAUGUAAAUUACAUACUGUAAUCUAAUCAAGAAUCCUGGCUGGGCUUUAGUAAACAAGCCACUAUUUAUAAACACAUUAAGGGUGAAAAACCCAACAAGCAUAGCUAGAACUUUCAUAGAGUGUUCUCUCUCAUAUAAAUUCUUAAUGGACUAUAAAGGACUUUUUAAGUGGUUUUAGAUUUGAAUUCAAUUGCUCAAAUGGGAAUAAACUAGUCAUAUUUACAAUCGUGGUGUUUAUUCAUUAUAAACCUAAACAUGAGAUCAGAAAGAAAUGGGAGCUUGUAGAACAAAAACAAACAAAACCGUAACAUUACUUGACCGUAGAGGUUUGUUCCAUCCACAUCACCUAUUCACAGAGAUUAAAAGUAUCCAGUUUGAACAUUCAUAAUUUGCUAACAAACUAGAGUGAUUUAUGUUGCUCUGAGCACAUCUAAAAAUUACAUAAGACAAGAAAACAAUGAGUUUUAAAACUCAUAAUUAUGAUCAAGAAAAUGGAAAAUUAUUAUCACUGAAUUUCAAAUGUGCUACAUGAAUUCCAUACACAGGGUUUGUUUUUGCCUACACCACCCACCAUCACUACCCCACCAACCUGGCUGAGAGUCUGAAGUCUGUAAGCAUCCAAAAUUGCUGAUGUUGACCACCACCACUGCCCCCCACCCCGAGUUCACACGUAAUAAAAUACGUCCCUCUCUCAUCCUACUUCAUGCAAUCUACUAAUCCUAUUCUUUUACUCAUGGCCUUCAAUAAUCAGGGACUGCAGCUGAUAAUUUGGGAAAUUUUCCAAUGCAGCCAAUUUGAAAAAUUACUCUAACAUUUACUUUGACCUAAGCAUAAAAACAUAAGGCCUGUGCCACCAUCAGAUUCCUCCUAAUGGUUUAUUCUCGAAUUAUACGAAUCUCUUAAAAUUGAGGACAGCAGCCUAUUAAAGUUGAAUACAGUAAGGAUAAACACACUUACAGUCCCACAAUAUGCAGAGAGCUCACAUUUCCCCUGGACUAGGAAGAGAACUAAUUUCUGAUUAUGCUUUGUGGCUGUGUACUUUCCCGCUAUAGUGUCAACCAUGUUUCCUUCUAUCAGUUCACGGAUCUCUCUCCUAAACCUGUUUUCUCUCUCAAACAUUGUUUCAAUGAUAAAUUCCUCCCAUUAACUAUGAUUUGCCAAGUGGGCCUUCUAUUGUCUUUUUGUGUCAUAAUAAAAUCUGCUCUUACAAUUUCAAAUACCACAAAAACAUCUGCAGCUUAUCUGGCAGUCCUAGGUUCUUGUUGCAUCGAUUUGCAAAUCUCUCAUCCUUCUUGUCUUCUGAAGUCUGCUAGUUCCUUAACAAGGGACACCUAAAUGGAGAUCUGCUUCUCUGCCUUUUCCAGUAACACUAACAGUACCAGGUGCUUGAGAAUGGUUGCCAUCUACACAUCCAAACUCGCCCUGUCACUGUCACUGGGUCCACCAUCACUGCAGCGCAUAGCCGUGCUCCCUCCUCCUCUGGACUAGACACAGAUGCUGCCUGUUAACACCACCCUCACCUCCAGUCUCAGCCCACCUUGUCCCCCUAAGAGUGGAUCGCAACACUUGCGUGGUUUUGAGCAUCACUUCUGACAUGCCUGACACGCCACCUCACUCUUCACAAGUGCAGCGAUUUCUGCUCAGCUAGCUCAUUUUCUAGGUUCACUCGAUACACAACAACAUCACUAAUUCCUCUCUAGCCACCAAACAUCUCUCAGCUCAUCCCAAAUAUCUGAAACACAGUAUGGGCAUCUCUCUGCCAAGCUAUUCCUUUUAACAGAUAUUAAGGCGUUAGGUUAAUCUAGCCUGAAUAAAUAUAGGUCUUUCUCUAAAACCAACACUUUGUACUAUACAUAACCUACUCUAAAACUCUCUGCUCCGUAGAAUAUGCAUUUCUUUCUCGAUUAUUACAGCAGCUUAUGCAUAUGGACAUACGUAUACAUAUGUACUUUCAUAAUUCCAUUUAUUUUCAUAUAAUUACAAAAUGUAGCAUUAGCUCUUGGAUAAGGGUACAGAAGGUGCUAAACAUAUCUACUGUUACUUCUUCAAGUCUAAAAGUCAAGGCUCUCAGAUUAUGAGUUAAAAGAAAAUUAACUUUUUUUCUUCAAAUAAUGUUGGCAUUUAGAUGCCAAAUUCUUUCCUGUUGUGUUUCCAUUUGCCCCAAUUACACAUUUUUAAAACAACGUACCAACAAUUAGAAUAAACAGAUAAUCCUAAAGUAUUAAUGUAAACAUUCAUAAAACAGAUCAGAGCAUACGGGCCACUGUAAAGGUUUUUUUUUUUUUCUGUAUAGCAUGAAUUUAUAUACAUGUAUAUAUCUGAAAAACGUUCUUUAAAAAAUUAAGUUGUACAUACUUAGCACAUCAAAAUUAAUAUAUAAAACUAUUGUUUCUUUUAAGGAAAGGAGAAAUGGUGAAGACAACGACAAAAGCAGCAAACCUAAAAGUUUCAGCUCCAUAAAAUAUAUGGUUGCCUAUUAGAAAGGAAAACCUCCAGG
rnacentral:lncRNA from 1 species